GACGAACGCUGGCGGCGUGCCUAAUACAUGCAAGUAGAACGCACAGUUUAUACCGUAGCUUGCUACACCAUAGACUGUGAGUUGCGAACGGGUGAGUAACGCGUAGGUAACCUGCCUGGUAGCGGGGGAUAACUAUUGGAAACGAUAGCUAAUACCGCAUAAUAUUAAUUAUUGCAUGAUAAUUAAUUGAAAGGUGCAAUUGCACCACUACCAGAUGGACCUGCGUUGUAUUAGCUAGUAGGUGAGGUAACGGCUCGCCUAGGCGACGAUACAUAGCCGACCGGAGAGGGUGAUCGGCCACACUGGGACUGAGACACGGCCCAGACUCCUACGGGGGGCAGCAGUGGGGAAUCUUCGGCAAUGGACGAAAGUCUGACCGAGAAACGCCGCGGGGGGGAAGAAGGUUUUCGGAUCGGAAAGCUCUGUUGUAAGGGAAAAACGGGGGUGAGAGGGGAAAGUUCCAACGGGGGCGGUUUUUUCCCAAAAAGGGACGGCUAAUUACGU
rnacentral:rRNA from 1 species